rnacentral:misc_RNA from 1 species
GAAAUGCGAUAAGUAAUGUGAAUUGCAGAAUUCAGUGAAUCAUCGAAUCUUUGAACGCACAUUGCGCCCGCCAGUAUUCUGGCGGGCAUGCCUGUUCGAGCGUCAUUUCAACCAUCAAGCCCCGGGCUUGUGUUGGGGACCUGCGGCUGCCGCAGGCCCUGAAAACCAGUGGCGGGCUCGCUGUCACACCGAGCGUAGUAGAUUCUCAUCUCGCUCAGGGCGUGCUGCGGGUUCCGGCCGUAAAACAGCCUUAUUUUACCCAAGGUUGACCUCGGAUCAGGUAGGAGGACCCGCUGAACUUAAGC